rnacentral:rRNA from 1 species
AUGAGACCCAAAGACAUCGCCCCAAAGAUUUUUGACCUAUCAAAAAGAAGGGGAUGUUCGGUUCAGAAGGCUUUGAAUAAUAACUUCUGGGUCUCUCAAGUCAAAACAGAUGGGAUCACCUCCGCUACACACCUGACCGAGUUCGUCAACCUUUGGAAGAAAUUAUCUGUGGUGCACCUCAACCCCGACGUGGCUGAUUCUAUCUCUUGGAAGCUUUCUAAUGAUGGCUCUUACUCCGCGUCCUCGGCCUACAAGGUCCAGUUCCUGGGCUUAGUUGACUCCAACAUGCAACAGUUGGUGUGGAAGAUCUGGGCUCCCCCUAAAUGCAAAUUCUUUGCUUGGCUUGUGAUCAAUAAUAGGAUAUGA